rnacentral:tRNA from 1 species
CGCGGACGUGGCUCAGUGGUAGAGCAUCACCUUGCCAAGGUGAGGGUCGCGGGUUCGAAUCCCGCCUUCCCGA